rnacentral:sRNA from 1 species
UGUCUCCCAUGAAUAAGCCCAUUAAGUGUUAUUCAUUUAAUGUUCAGCAAAUAUUAAUUGAAUGUAGGUCUUAAAUGAAACUCCUCUGUGUGUGCAACCAGUACUGCUGUCUCAGAAGUGAGGCUAUAGUUAGUGCUGUUUUGGGGGCCACCUUUCCUUCUGGGCCUUUGUACUGAGCGUUCAGAGCGUAGAUAUGUUCACCCACUGAGAGCGGAUGGUGAAUGCCUGUUCCUUUAGUCUUUUUGUGAUGAUUUUGCUUUUUAUAGGAAGGACAAAGUCUCCGCCUGGGCACCUUAAGAACUGGCUUUGCACACAGCCGAUGCAGUCCCUGGGCACUUUGAAAGCAGUGGGCAAAAGGGCAGGUUACACUAAAGCAAGUCCCAGAUGUCACAUCAUUUCAAUGAGGAGGUUAUGGUGAGAUGCAGCUCUUCCCCUCCCUCCAGCAGGGCAAAAGAGGAGGAAAGGAGAAUGGAGUCACAAUGAGGGAGAUUUUGGAGGCUGAAAGAUCUAGAUGUGAGGUCCUCUCUGUCAGUUUCUAGAAGUGUGACUGACCUAGGGUCCCCACAUACCGAACCAACCAGCAUCUGCAGCACCAUCUCGCCAACUCCUGCCCCUGUCACCAGCACUGUG